rnacentral:rRNA from 1 species
GAUGAACGCUGGCGGCGUGCUUAACACAUGCAAGUCGAACGAUGAAGCCCAGCUUGCUGGGUGGAUUAGUGGCGAACGGGUGAGUAACACGUGAGUAACCUGCCCUUAACUCUGGGAUAAGCCUGGGAAACUGGGUCUAAUACCGGAUAGGAGCGUCCACCGCAUGGUGGGUGUUGGAAAGAUUUAUCGGUUUUGGAUGGACUCGCGGCCUAUCAGCUUGUUGGUGUAGUAAUGGCUCACCAAGGCGACGACGGGUAGCCGGCCUGGGAGGGUGACCGGCCACACUGGGACUGAGACACGGCCCAGACUCCUACGGGAGGCAGCAGUGGGGAAUAUUGCACAAUGGGCGCAAGCCUGAUGCAGCGACGCCGCGGGAGGGAUGACGGCCUUCGGGUUGUAAACCUCUUCCAGUAGGGAAGAAGCGAAAGUGACGGUACCUGCAGAAGAAGCACCGGCUAACUACGUG